AAGUUCGUCUGCUAUUAAUAGUUGAAGCAGCGAAAAUAGAAACUCGUGAAAGAAGUAGGCCUACGAAAGAUAUGAAUCAUGGAAAACUUUGAUGACAGUGAUGCGAUUCCAGAUUUGGUUGAUAUCGUGGACGAUCGUCCGCCGAUAAGUUCUCUCGUGGUUGAAAAUACCAUUGUCAAAACCGUGCCGGUAACGAUAGUAACUGGAUUUUUAGGCGCCGGUAAAACCACCUUUCUUAAUUUCAUCUUGACUGAACAGCACGAGAAAAAAAUUGCUGUUAUUCUGAACGAAUUUGGUGAAGGAAGUGUUCUUGAGAAAAGCCUUGCUGUGGGGACACAAGGUGACUUGUAUGAAGAAUGGCUAGAAUUACGGAAUGGUUGCCUGUGCUGUUCAGUCAAAGAUAAUGGAGUUAAAGCAAUAGAAAACUUGAUGAAGAAAAAAGGAAGAUUUGACUACAUUCUUUUGGAGACAACUGGAUUAGCUGAUCCUGGACCAAUUGCUUCACUUUUUUGGCUUGACAGUGAACUCUGUAGUGAUAUUCAUUUAGAUGGAGUGAUAACGCUGGUCGACGCCAAACACGGACUGAGGCAAAUCAACGAAGUUAAACCGGAUGGUUCAGUUAACGAAGCCACAAGACAAAUUGCCCUUGCGGAUGUCAUCCUGUUAAAUAAAGAAGACCUUGUCACAGCGGAGGAGCUUUCAGAAUUAAAAAACCACAUACAAACUAUCAAUAGUGAGGCUACAUUCAUCACCACUCAUCACGGCAGGGUUAAUUUAAAUGAAGUAUUAGACCUUGGACUAUACUAUCAAGCGACUAAUCUCAGAUCUCUUGAGAAUAGCCCAUCGAAGUUUUCCAAUUCGUCGGAAAGCCAUCUCGAUUUGUCGGUACGCAGUGUGACACUGGAAUUGAACGAGCGGCUCACACCCGAAAUCGUGGACACCUAUUUACAGCGAUUACUAUGGGAGAAAGAUGUUGUGAAUUCAUUAGGAUUGACCCUCGAAAUAUUUCGAAUAAAGGGUAUCGUGCGAUAUUCGCAGCCGGAAUUAGUUCAACCGUCCUUUGUCAUCAUUCAAGCCGUUUACGACACUUACGACACGAUGCCAGUCAAGCCAGAAGCGACGAACACCGCCGAUCUCAGCUCGCAACCCGAUGUUCGCUUUGUGUUUAUCGGUCGCCAUUUGGAGCUCGGAGUCCUGAAAAACAUCUUGCUGCAACUUCUUCGUCCGGACUAAACGUGGCGGCUGGUGCAGAUGUACUUUGAAGGAAUCGAAAGUUGAAUUCUCGGAAUGAAAUGUUUAGAAUCUUGUUAACAAGGCGCUUUUCACUUCCCGUGUUGGCAUCGCCAGUCCAAUUCUGCACACGGAAUCAGUUUGCGAAACGCAACUGACUGUUUCAAUGAGUUAAUCUACAAUAUCCACAUCCCUUCCAAGAAUUAUGCUAUUGACCAUGCAGUGUUAGAUGUCGAGAGAAUUACAUGACCCGCUCCAUUUGUA